rnacentral:rRNA from 1 species
GACGAACGCUGGCGGCGUGCCUAAUACAUGCAAGUUGAGCGCUGAAGGUUGGUACUUGUACCAACUGGAUGAGCAGCGAACGGGUGAGUAACGCGUGGGGAAUCUGCCUUUGAGCGGGGGACAACAUUUGGAAACGAAUGCUAAUACCGCAUAAAAACUUUAAACACAAGUUUUAAGUUUGAAAGAUGCAAUUGCAUCACUCAAAGAUGAUCCCGCGUUGUAUUAGCUAGUUGGUGAGGUAAAGGCUCACCAAGGCGAUGAUACGUAGCCGACCUGAGAGGGUGAUCGGCCACAUUGGGACUGAGACACGGCCCAAACUCCUACGGGAGGCAGCAGUAGGGAAUCUUCGGCAAUGGACGAAAGUCUGACCGAGCAACGCCGCGUGAGUGAAGAAGGGUGUCGGAUCGUAAAACUCUGUUGGUAGAGAAGAACGUUGGUGAGAGUGGAAAGCUCAUCAAGUGACGGUAACUACCCAGAAAGGGACGGCUAACUACGUG